UACCAGCGCGAGUGUGCUGUUUUCUCGGCCAGAAUGGUAGAUUGGCUGACGAAAAUGUUGUGUAUUUUUUGUUGAAGAAACCCUUUCAUUCUCUGGGCAAAUUAAAAGUGAGGAUCGACCUUUGCCUAAGAUCAGUUUCAUGAAGGAUGAAAAGGUGCGUGCGUUCAAUACCAAUUGGCAUCAAAAGUAUAGCUGGUUAACAGGAGCCUCUCAUCAAGCCGCCUGUAAUUGCUAGCCGUAGCUUGUUUUUAAAAAAAGUCUGAGCCUUGGUACACUGACCCGAAGACCAUCGAUUGUUCAGCAGGCAGCAUAUAAAUGUCCAUAUCGGAUUCAAGCUACUGGGAAAAAUCUGCAUCGGUCAUGACGAAAGUCUGCGUCUUCAAACUGGGCGACACAGCCAGAAAGUUAGAAGAAACAGGGAUGUUCUCAAGCGGUUUAUCAUCACCACUGCGUUUUUUGUGCAUGCAAGAAUGUGCUUUUAGAGGAUACUACGAGAUGGAAAGUCCCGCCGACAAAAAAGUUAACUACAAUGAGCUUGCAGAGCAAAGUCCCCUCCUGUUCCCUGAUCUUAAGAGACAUUCUGUCCUGCACUGAAGUCAAGCCUCUGAACGCCUCAACUCAAGCCUCUCACACUCAUUCAGUCACUGCUGUGUUCCCUUCCAACCACUAAGUAACCCUCUUAUUCCAAUUCCCCAUAAUAUUGUACUAUAAACGUCUUUUAUUAAACGCUUUAGGUUAAAUAAUUACUCUUUUGGCGAUUUUUGAAACACUCUGACAUCUCCGUGCGUUCAGCACCUAUACCGUGGGUCUCCCAUCAUCAAUUUUUCAAGUUACCAGCCUCC